GCAGUCGACGCGCAGCGAGAGGUGCUUGCACCUUUCAAGCGAGUGGCGAACGGGUGAGUAACACGUGGAUAACCUGCCUCAAGGCUGGGGAUAACAUUUGGAAACAGAUGCUAAUACCGAAUAAAACUUAGUAUCGCAUGAUAUCAAGUUAAAAGGCGCUACGGCGUCACCUAGAGAUGGAUCCGCGGUGCAUUAGUUAGUUGGUGGGGUAAAGGCUUACCAAGACAAUGAUGCAUAGCCGAGUUGAGAGACUGAUCGGCCACAUUG
rnacentral:rRNA from 1 species